UUUGAUUCUUUGUUUUACUCCUCAGAUAUUACAACUUCAAAGCUGAAACCACAAGAGAAGGAAAGAGGAAAAGGCAGGCCUCAUGAAGCCAGGGAACAAGAAAGCAGCUCCUGAUAGAGAAAACUAGAGAGGUUUGAAGCCUCACUAAAGGGGAUCGGGCCCUUAAGGAGAGACCCGAUCCGGUCCUGAGAGAACGGACCUUGGCGAAGCCGAAAGGAGAAUUACGAGCCGCAAUACAACCUGAAGCCGAAAUGAAGAAGGUCCGCCAAAGUUGAAGGAAAAUCCGCCAAGGAGUCUUUAUUGAGCAAUUCAGCUGAAGAGGACUCUAGUAGCGAUCAUUUGGUCUACUAGGGUACCAUACAAUCAAAAUAAAGCCAUACUUAUACAAAA